rnacentral:lncRNA from 1 species
AGAUAGGAAGGAUAGUAGAAUGAAACAGACAUUAUUAUUAUUGUGUGUAUAUAUGUGAAUGCAUGACCAAUGUGAUUCUGCAACCUGUACACUCAGAAAAAUGAGAUAUUAUAUCCCAUCUGAUUCAAAUGUAUGAUAUGUCAAGGUCAUUAUACUUUCAUGUGUAACUAAGUAAAACAAAUAAAAAUAAAUAAAUAACACUAUAUAAAUCAAAUGGACCUAAUAGAUAUCUAUGGAAUAUUCCACCCACAAUCAGCUAAAUUUACCUUCUUCCUGGCUGUGCAUGGAACUUUUUCCAGAGUAGAUCAUAAUCUAGGCCACAAAGAAAAUCUUAGCAAAUACCAGAAAUUCAGUGAAAUCCCAUGUGUUCUAUAAGAUCACAAUGGAAUGAAGCUAGAAAUCAACAGAAAAAAGAAAAUAAAUCACAUAAACAUGUGGAGAUUGAACAAUAGUCUCUUAAAUGAAGAAUGGACUAAAAAAGAGAUAAGAAUAGAAAGCAAGAAAUUUUUAGAAUGAACAAUAAUAGAGAUAUAGCAUAUCAAAAUCUCUGGGACAUUUGAAAGCAGUUCUAGUGGAUAAUUUCUAGCACUGAGUGCCUACAUUAAAAAUUAGAGAUAUCUCAAAUAAAUAAGCUUAUGCUCCACCUCAAAGGCUUAGAAAAGAAGACAGGAAAUAAUUAAGAUCAGCAUCAAAAUCAAUGCAAUUGAGAAGAAGAGAAGGCCUGUGAUUAAAUCCAAUAUCCAUUCAUGUUAAAAAUGCUGGAGAAGCUAGGGAUCAAAGAACUUACCUUACCAUUGUAAAGGCCAUUCAUGACAAACCCAAAGCCAACAUAAUACUAAAUGGAGAAAAACUAAAAGAAUCUCUUCCAAAUUCAGGAACAAGAUAAGGCUGUCACUCUUACCAGUCCUAUUCAAUAUAGUCAUUGAAACAUUAGCUAGAGCAAUCAGGCAAGAAAAGGAAAUCAAAUGGCUACAAAUAGAAAAAGAAGUCAAAAUAUCUCUGUUGGCUGACAAUAUGAUCCUAUAUCUGGAAGACCCAAAAACUCUACUGGAAGACUUCUAGAGCUCAUAAAUGAGUUUAACAAGGAUACAAGGUCAACACCCAUAAAUCAAUAGCUUUCCUAUACUCUAACAGUGAUUCAGCAGAGGAAGAAAUCUGUAAAAUCAUACCAUUCACAAUAACCUCAAAACAAAAAUUUAAUACUUGGGAAUUACUCUUAACAAAAGAGGUAAAAUAACUCUAAAGUGAAAAUUAUACAACACUGAAGAAAAAUUGAAGAAGAUCUUAGAAAAUGAAAAGACAUCACAUGUUCUUUGAUAGGCAGAAUUAAUAUUGUCAAAAUGGCUAUACUACCAAAAGCCAUUACAGAGUCAAUGCAAUCCACAUUGAAAUACCAAUGACAUUCUUCACAGAAUUAGGAAAGAAAAUUCUUAAAUUCAUUUGGAAUAGUAAGAGACCCAGAAUAAUCAAUGAAAGAGUAAGCAAGGAAAGUGAAGCAGGAGGUAUCACAAUGCCUGAUCUGAAGUUAUACUAUAGAGCUGUAGUAACAAAAACAGCAUGGUAUUGACAACAAACUAGACACAAAGACAAAUGGAAUAGAAGAUACAUACCUAAAGUUGUCUAAUAUUUGACAAAGGUGCCAAAAAUAUAUCUUGGAGAAGAAACAGCCUUUUAUAUAAUAGGUACUGGGAAAACUGGAUAGCUAUGUGUAGAAAAAUGAAAUUAGACCCCUAUCUCACCUGCACAAUACUCAAAUCAAAAUGGAUCAAAGACUUAAGAAUUAUAUCAGAAACUUUACAACGGCUGCAAGAAAUACAGCAUCAACACUCCAUCAUAUAGGUGCUGGCACUGACUUAACAUGAUCCCUAAAGCACAAGCAAUAAAACCAAGAGUCAAUAAGGGGGAUGCUAUUAAACUAAAAAGCUUCUGCACAAGAAAGGAAAUGAUUAAGAGCAUGAAGAGAUAGCCUACAGAAUAGGAGAAAAUUUUGGCCAGCUACUCCUGUUAUAAGGAAUUAAUAUCCAGAAUAUAUAAAGAACUCAAAAAAUGUAACACCCCUCCUCAAUAACCCAAUCAAUAACUGAUCAAAAGAACUAAACAGAAAUUUCUCAGAAGAAGAAACACAAUGGCCAAAAAUAUAUGAAAAAAUGUUCAACAUCUGUAGUAACCAGGGAAAUGCAAAUCACAAACUACCCUUAAGAUUUCAUCUCACUACAAUUAGAAUGGCAAUGGUCAAGAAUAUGAACAACAGUAAAUGCUAAUGAGGCUGUAGGGGAAAAGUUCCACUUGUACAUUGUUAGUAGAUUGCAGAAUAGUAAAACCACUCUGGAAAGCAGUAUGAAGAUUCUUCGAGAAACUAGUGAUGGAACCGCCAUAUGACCCAGCUCUCACUCCUUGGUAUUUUCUCAAAAGAUCUAAAAUCAGCAUACUACUGUUACACAGCCAUAUCAAGGUUUAUAGCACAUCACAGCCACAUCACAAUAGAUAAAUUAUGCAGUCAAUCCAGAUGCCCAUCAAUAGAUAAAUGGAUUACAAAAUUGUGAUACACACACACACAAUGGAGUUCUAGCCAUAAGAAAGAAUGCAAUUAUGGCAUUUGCCAGAUGGAAAUGAAAAAUCAUGCUAAGUGAAAUGAGCCAAACUCAGAAAUUUAAAGGCCAAAUGUUUCCCCUCAUAUGGGGAAGCUAGAGUGAAAUACAGGAAAUGGGGAGGAAAUGAUAGUAUAACAUAAAGAAUCAAAUACAAAUUAUUAAAAGAUGAGUGAAAGGCGAUCUAGUAGUUAGGAGAAUGA